UCUCCUUCCCGCUCUCCCUCCCUCUCUCUUUCCUUCGCUCUCUCACUCACACACGGACAAGUUAUGAUGAAAACUGCUCGCAAAAAAACCUGCGAUCACUGAACAAUUUUUACCCCUUGCGCGGAUCACAGUACAAAAGGAAUACUAAUAACAGAAAAAAAACGCCCACACCAAAAUGGUAAACAAGGUAGGCCUACUUUGAAAACAUUCGCGACGUCAACGGGGUUGCUGUUUGCUGAGUAAACGAUUCGCUCACAGACAGACAGACAGAUACUGUGACGGAGUUUUUGGCCAAGAGAGAUAUAUCAGUGGGAGCCAGGAACGGAUAUUCUGCAUACCCAGUUCCUCACACUGCAAGCUUUCCUUGGAGAGAACGAAGACAUAAGGGAGGAAUUGUGACAGAAACAUCUUAGAUGGAGAGACAGAUGGUGAGAGGUGGUGACUGUUGAGGGAACCCUGCACUGAUCAGGGGAUUUCUUCAACUCGUGGCUUUGCGUCGGUAACAGAGCGUCAUCCUUGUGUUUGAGCACUGAGAGGGAGGCAUAUCGACGAACAAAAACGGCGAUGGUAAUAUAAUAGUUCCUGAGAUUAAAAUGAAAGGAAACACGGUAAAAUAGGAAUACUACAGGAGAAGAGAAAGAGGAACAUCGACCUACACAAAAAACGGCGUGUAUUAUCGUUCCUGAGGGCAACAAGAAGGAAGGACGGUACCACUGAAACAACAACAAAAGGAGAAAGAAGCACAU